CUAGCUGGUCUGAGAGGAUGACCAGCCACACUGGAACUGAGACACGGUCCAGACUCCUACGGGAGGCAGCAGUGGGGAAUAUUGCACAAUGGGCGCAAGCCUGAUGCAGCCAUGCCGCGUGUAUGAAGAAGGCCUUCGGGUUGUAAAGUACUUUCAGCGGGGAGGAAGGGAGUAAAGUUAAUACCUUUGCUCAUUGACGUUACCCGCAGAAGAAGCACCGGCUAACUCCGUGCCAGCAGCCGCGGUAAUACGGAGGGUGCAAGCGUUAAUCGGAAUUACUGGGCGUAAAGCGCACGCAGGCGGUUUGUUAAGUCAGAUGUGAAAUCCCCGGGCUCAACCUGGGAACUGCAUCUGAUACUGGCAAGCUUGAGUCUCGUAGAGGGGGGUAGAAUUCCAGGUGUAGCGGUGAAAUGCGUAGAGAUCUGGAGGAAUACCGGUGGCGAAGGCGGCCCCCUGGACGAAGA
rnacentral:rRNA from 1 species